rnacentral:lncRNA from 1 species
CGAGGAUCAUUGCCUCGACCCCAUCCCCCACCGCGCGGCGACGCCCCCUACGGGCUGGGACACCUCCACUCUCGGACUGCUGCCGGGUUUCCCUCCGGCUGCGACCCUGGAGGAUUUGAUGGAAAUGCUACAAGAGAAGCAGGCUCUCCCCUUCUGAAAUGAUGAGUGAUAAUGACCAUACAGGUCAACUUUUCCACCACUUGGAGGGAGCCUGUCAAAGAACAAAGGCAACAGAGAAGAGAGCAGAGCUGAGGUUGGGUGAGAGGGAGAAAUUCCUGAGUGCUUGAAUCCCACAUGCCGGAAGCCGCACCACACUUGGACUUCUCAAUACAGGAGCCACUGAGAAACCAAGUCAUGCUGAAGACCUGGAAAUCCCAGCAGGCUGCAAACCAGCUGCAACUACAAUGGGUCAGCCCUUUUGAGAUGCUGCUGACUACCCACUUAUCUGCCAAGUUAGCCAGUGUUAAGCCAUGGAUUCACCACGCUCAGAUAAAACCUGCCCCUCUGGGAUCCCUCCAGAAAAAAACAGGCAUGCUGUUGUGAACCCUAAGAUGGCCUUAAGUUAAUAUUCAAUGCCCAGCCAAAGACCCUAAAUAAGAAGUCAUAAAGGAAACAUGUGCUUUUCAGAGUCUCACUCUGUCACUCAGGCUGGAGUGCAGUGGUAUAAUCUCAGCUCACUGCAACCUCCACCUCUCAGGUUCAAGCAAUUCUCAUGCUUCAGCCUCCCAAGUAGCUAGGACUACAGGUGUGCACCACCAUGCCCAGGUAAUUUUUGUAUUUUUAAUAGAUACAGGGUUUCACCACGUUGCUCAGGCUGGUCUUGAACUCCUGACCUCAAGUGAGCCACAUCUGCCUCAGCCUCCCGGAGUGCUAGGAUUGCAGGUGUGAGCCACCACACCCAGCCAUGAAUCAGAAAUACUUUUUAAUAGGCUUAGGAUUGUUCUCUUGGAUUCCUUAAGGGAUCCACUUUAAUUCUUGGGUGUUUUUUUUUUUUUUAAUCAUGGUGCUCCAACAAGCGGGAUGCCAGUCAGGUAAUCCUGAGCACUUCAGAUUCAGGGGUGAUGUUUGCAUUUCCCAUCAUUAUCCCACAAUGCACCCCUUAGCAUUAAGUAGCCAAAAAGGCAGACAACCAUAUUCCCCAUGAUCGAAAAAUUGAUGAAUAGAAAAAAGGGGAUUAAAACCAGCCCAAUUGUCCCAUAGAAAUGAUAUUACGGUUUUUAAAAGAAACAUAAAAAUUAACCUUCCUGUUUUUAAAAUUUAAAACUUACAUUUAUCUCAUCUGAAUUCCUUCCUCAAAAAACAGACACUCAGGCAAAAACAAAAACCUAAAACUCAUCAGAUCACUGUAUCCAGACAGAGACGCCAGACCCCUCAUCCAUCAUGAUUGCUUCUAUACUCCUCCUUAAUUCCUAUUUUCCCACCUUUCCUGCUAUACAAAACCCCCAAUUUUAGUCGGUCAGACAAACACAUUUGAGACUUUAUCUCCUGUUCUCCUUGGCUGCAACACCCCGUUAAAGUUUUCUUCCCUGGCAAUAGUUACUGUCUCAGUGAUUGGCAUUCUGUGUAACAAGCAGCAGAACCUAGACUGGAACCCUGGUGUUUCAGUAACAUUACCUUGUAGUAAAUGCUGUUGUGUCAUGCCCAGAUUCACUUUACCAAGCCCAGAUCCCACAGAUUAAAGGGCUCAGCUCCACAAGACUUCAGACACCAGCCACAAAUGGGGUCCCCAGGUGACCCACACUUCUGCCCAGUGGACUAUAAAUUCAAGGGUUCUGUGACUUUCCCUACCCAGCUUUGAUAAUUCACUAGAAUCCUCACAGAACUCAGGAAAAUGCCAUACCUACUAUUACACUUUAUUAUGAUGGACACACACGAGCAGCCAGAUGGAGGGGUACUGAGGAAGCAUCUGAAUGCAGGAGGCUCUGUCCCUGGAGAGUUGGGAUGAGCCACUCUCCUGGAUGUGUUCACCAACUCAGAAGCUCUCCAAGCCCCAUUGUGUAGGGAUUUUUUAUGGCAGUUUCAGUAAGUACACAUGAUUGAUUAAAUCAUUGGCCAUUGGUGAUUGAACUCAAUCUCUAGCCCCUCUCCUGCUCUCAGAGGUGGAAGAGCAAGGCUGGAAGUUCUAACCUUCUCAGUACAUGGUUGGUUUUUCCUGUGUCCAGGUCCCAUCCUAAAGCUACCUAGGCCCCCUCUGCCCAACAAGAGUCUUCUCAUUAGCAAAAGAGUAAUUUCCAAGGGUGUUAGGAGCUCUAUGCUGGGAACCAGGGACCAAGAGUAAAUAUAUAUUUUGUAUUUUACCACAGGUACCAAUCACCCUCCAGAUCUAAGAAUGGCUUCAGGCUGGGGCUGCAGUCACCUCUUUGCCCAGCUUCUCCCCUGCCCUAUUCUGCUUCACUUGCAUCCUUAAAGGUUCCACCCAAGAGCUCUUCUACAAGAAAGCACCUAUAAAGCCAGACACAUUGGCUUAUGCCUAUAAUCCUAGCACUUUGGGAGGCCAAGGUAGGAGGAUGGCUUGAGGCCAGGAGUUCAAGACCAGCCUGGGCAACUUAGUGAGGCCCCGUCUCUAUAAAAAAUAAAAAAAUUAACCAGGUGUGGUGGUGCACGUCUCUAGUCUCAGCUACUCAGGAGGCUGUGGCAGGAAGAUGGCUUGAGCCCAGGAGGUUGAGGCUGCAGUGAACUAAGAUCAUGCCACUGCACCCAUCUUGGGCAACAGAAUGAGAUCCUGUCUCUAAAAAAAUAAAAACAAUUUACAACAGUAAGCACCUGUACACAAGCCCCAUCUCCAGUCCUGUUUCUAGGGCUUCCAAUUUAACACACCUAGAGGCUGGGCAUAGUAGCUCAUGCCUGUAAUCCCAAUACUUUGGGAGGCUGAGGCAAGUGAAGCACUUGAGGUCAGGAGUUCGAGACCAGCCUGGCCAACAUGGCAAAACCCCAUCUCUACUAAAAAUGCAAACAUUAGCUGGGCAUGGUGGCACAUGCCUGUAAUCCCAGCUACUCGGGAGGCUGAGACAGGAGAAUCACUUGAACCCAGGAGGUGGAGGUUACAGUGAGCCAAGAUCACACCACUGUACCACAGCCUGAGCAACGAAAGAAGACUCUGUCUAAAAAAAGUAAAAAAUAAAAUAAAACACACCUGGAGCUUUCUACAUCCCGUAGGUAUCUGUGUUUCUUUCUCGUGCCCUAUUUGACAGAGUUUCUUGAGCUCGAAUCUAUGUCUACUUUAUCUUAGCCUUCCUGUAACACCUGUCUCAAUGUCUUGCACAUAUAGAAUGCUCAGUAGAGUUUUUGGAAUAAGUAUUUCAUAUUUUGGAAUCAUUUACAGAGCAGGGGUUAAAUUCCUGGCUUAUUUUCUCUAGUUCUUAUUCUGCACCCCCUGCCCUGCAAACCUGCCACAUAAGCAGGUCAUUUCUCCACCCCUCAAGAUGAGGGCAAACAACUUCAGAAACUGCUCACAAACAGGCCCCUGUGGAAAUACCUCCAGGCCACUGGCAUUCCUGCCUGCUGCCAGAGACCUGGGAGGCUGUUCACUGCCUUGAGUAUUUUUGUUCUUUCCAACUUCUCUGCCCCAUCAAGUUAAACAGUCCUUAAGAGUAAAUAAAUGUGGC